GGAUGAACGCUAGCGGCAGGCUUAACACAUGCAAGUCGAGGGGCAGCGAGGGUAGCAAUACCUGUCGGCGACCGGCAAACGGGUGCGGAACACGUACGCAAUCUACCCUUACCCGGGGCAUAGCCCGGAGAAAUCCGGAUUAACUCCCCAUAACAUAUUUGAGUGGCAUCAUUUGGAUAUUAAAAAUUUAUUGGGUAAGGAUGAGCGUGCGUCCCAUUAGCUAGUUGGUAGGGUAACGACCUACCAAGGCGACGAUGGGUAGCUGGUGUGAGAGCACGACCAGCCACACGGGCACUGAGACACGGGCCCGACUCCUACGGGAGGCAGCAGUGAGGAAUAUUGGUCAAUGGGCGCAAGCCUGAACCAGCCAUGCCGCGUGAAGGAUGAAGGCCUUCUGGGUUGUAAACUUCUUUUAUGAGGGAAGAAAAGCAUUGUUUCUACGAUGUCCGACGGUACCUUAGGAAUAAGCACCGGCUAACUCCGUGCCAGCAGCCGCGGUAAUACGGAGGGUGCAAGCGUUAUCCGGAUUUACUGGGUUUAAAGGGUGUGUAGGCGGGCUAUUAAGUCAGUGGUGAAAUCUCCGGGCUCAACCCGGAAACUGCCAUUGAUACUAUUAGUCUUGAAUUUUGUUGAGGUAGGCGGAAUAAGUCAUGUAGCGGUGAAAUGCAUAGAUAUGACUUAGAACACCGAUUGCGAAGGCAGCUUGCUAAACAAAUAUUGACGCUGAGGCACGAAAGCGUGGGGAUCAAACAGGAUCAGAUACCCUGGUAGUCCACGCACUAAACGAUGAUUACUCGACAUACGCGAUACACAGUGUGUGUCUGAGCGAAAGCAUUAAGUAAUCCACCUGGGAAGUACGACCGCAAGGUUGAAACUCAAAGGAAUUGACGG
rnacentral:rRNA from 1 species